AAACAACGCCCUUGGGGCUCCUUGGUGAGUCAUAAUAACUUAACGAAUCGCAUGGCCUUGCGCCGGCGAUGGUUCAUUCAAAUUUCUGCCCUAUCAACUUUCGAUGGUAGGAUAGUGGCCUACCAUGGUGGCAACGGGUAACGGGGAAUUAGGGUUCGAUUCCGGAGAGGGAGCCUGAGAAACGGCUACCACAUCCAAGGAAGGCAGCAGGCGCGCAAAUUACCCAAUCCCGAUACGGGGAGGUAGUGACAAUAAAUACUGAUACGGGGCUCUUUUGGGUCUCGUAAUUGGAAUGAGAACAAUUUAAAUCCCUUAACGAGGAACAAUUGGAGGGCAAGUCUGGUGCCAGCAGCCGCGGUAAUUCCAGCUCCAAUAGCGUAAUAUUAAAGUUGUUGCAGUUAAAAAGCUCGUAGUUGAACCUUGGGUCUGGCUGGCCGGUCCGCCUCACCGCGAGUACUGGUCCGGCUGGACCUUUCCUUCUGGGGAACCCCAUGGCCUUCACUGGCUGUGGGGGGAACCAGGACUUUUACUGUGAAAAAAUUANAGUGUUCAAAGCAGGCCUUUGCUCGAAAUACAUUAGCAUGGGAAUAAUAGAAUAGGACGUGCGGUUCUAUUUUUGUUGGGUUCUAGGACCGCCCGUUAAUUGAUUUAAUAAGGGAUANGUCCGGGGGCCGUCCAAUUCUUUCAACCUUGUCAAAAAGGUGAAAAAUUUCUUUGGGAAUUUUGCCUGGAAAAAACUNAACCUACCUGGCCGAAAAAGCCAUUUCCCCCCAAAGGGAUUGNUUUUUCCANUUUAAAUCCANGGGGAAACNNAAAAANUUUUAAGGGGGGAAUUCCNAAAAAAACCNAAAUCCANNAAUNCCCGNUCCCNUAAAUUCCUUU
rnacentral:rRNA from 1 species